UACAGAGGUCUCAACCGUUGUUCGGAUUCAUUGGGCGUAAAGGGUGCGUAGGCGGUCGUGCAAGUCGGAUGUGAAAUCUCCACGCUUAACGUGGAGGGGCCAUUCGAAACUGCCGUGACUCGAGUCCGGUAGGGGAGUGUGGAAUUCCGUGGUGAGCGGUGAAUGCGCAGAUAUCGGAGGAAGAACCAACAGCGAGGAAGGCGCUGGC
rnacentral:rRNA from 1 species